rfam:Eubacterium uniforme strain ATCC 35992 genome assembly, contig: EI43DRAFT_scaffold00027.27
GAGAACUGCAUAACUGAAAUCUCAAAUGAGGGAGUAACGCCCCGAAGGGGAUUCGCUAAUACUUCGAAUAGCGUUGGAUUAAUACAGAAAUUCAAGGUUAUAAGCUCGGAGAAGUCGCGCGAAGCGCAUCCUAACGGAUAAAUAUCGACAUGAACUCAAAUACCCAUUGGUACAAAAGUGACCAGAGUCCACCUGUGGGAAGAGAGGAAUUUAGAUAUUGAGCCGAGGAAAGAUACUUGGAGGCAAGUGUUGUGCGUGACAGUGCGGGCGGGGUUUCC